GGAGCACUCACUGACUUUGAAGCUAGACUUACCAGGCUGACUCUACUUCUGGUUUUGGGAAGUUCUAAAGUGGAGUCCCAGGGGUAAUGAUCUACUGCAGCUUUGAAGCAGGCCCUUCGAAGGUCAUGACAAGCUGGUGAAGAUGACUGCAUUUCCUGCGAAGUAUCAGGAGCCUAGCAAAGACUGAUUUUGAUCAGAACGUUUUAUCACAUCAACAGAAAAGAAACGACAUAGAAAAAAAUUGUGAGAGGAACAUGAAGGAGCAAAGAUGAGAAACUUCAGAAAACUUCAGCAUCCUGCACAAACAGAGGUAGAAAGUUAUUCUCAGCUUAACAUCAAUCCAUCUCAGGUUCAGUCUCUUGGAACACAAUGUCUUCACUCACAUCAUUAUGGAUCAGCUUCUUGCAGAGUUGGAGGUGAGGCAGCAUCCAGAGUUGAAGCAGUUGUUUCCCAUUUGCAUUUCAGGUGGAUCAGCAAAAUGGGACAUCGCAGUUGAACCAAAGUCAUAAUAAAACAUUCUGAGGUACAUAAAUACUCUGUAAUAGACUAAUUCAGUUCCUCCAUGCACCAACAGAAACCUUGACUACUUCUCUUGACUACUUCAGUCAAAUCUGACAAAACCAAACCCAACUUGGAAAUGUCCAUGUAUACAAUGGACAUGCCUGUUUCCAGAGAAGACUGCCCUUCAGGAGCUGCAUGGAGCUACUUGAGUGCACUAAACACUGUCUAAAGCUGAUUAUCAAGAGAAGCAGGAUAAAAAUCAGAAGCUCAAACAUUCAAGAAUGAGUUAUACCUGACAUGUCUUAAAGGUCUAUCUUUUAAACUCAGGAAAGGUCUCUUGAAACUUUCAGAUCCUCCUUCAAUGAAUCUACUCUUAGACUACUCAAAACUGGAGUGUUAACCUCUUUUUUUCCAAGAUGACUGCCCUAGGUAGCAAAUAACCUUGUCUCAUAUUUUCAGAGUUUGUUCACUGUGCCAUUUAAAACCUCUCCCCAGUGGUCAGUGUGCGACCCAAUCCUGAAUUCAUUCAUUCUUCUAGUAAUUUUGUAAUUUAAAAUGUUUGAAUACCUUACACUAUCUUUUAUAAAUUAGAUUAUAAUAUUCAGAAGGAACACAAUGUUGAAGAACACUUAUCUAUAAAUCUAUAGCUUUCUAAGAGUUGAUAAUCUUUUACU